ACUUUUCAUCUCAAUCAUGGGAACAUCGAAACAAAUCCAUAACCGAGUAAAUCUUUCAAAUUCCAACCAAAUUUCCCAAAACGACAUUAGUAUCUCGUUUACAAAGGUUCAAGCAAUAAGAGACAAUAAUAAAACCUCACUUAAAAUUAAUGCCGUUACAAAUUCAACCUUUCGAAAACAAAUCGAGAAACGUGUACUUUUCAACUCAAAUUCAAAGCAACAAUACAAAACAAACCGGCUGCCCAAAUGGUUUCUCGGUCAUAUCCUACGCGAAUAA